rnacentral:rRNA from 1 species
GAUGAACGCUGGCGGCGUGCCUAAUACAUGCAAGUCGAGCGAACAGACGAGGAGCUUGCUCCUCUGACGUUAGCGGCGGACGGGUGAGUAACACGUGGAUAACCUACCUAUAAGACUGGGAUAACUUCGGGAAACCGGAGCUAAUACCGGAUAAUAUAUUGAACCGCAUGGUUCAAUAGUUAAAGACGGUUUUGCUGUCACUUAUAGAUGGAUCCGCGCCGCAUUAGCUAGUUGGUAAGGUAACGGCUUACCAAGGCAACGAUGCGUAGCCGACCUGAGAGGGUGAUCGGCCACACUGGAACUGAGACACGGUCCAGACUCCUACGGGAGGCAGCAGUAGGGAAUCUUCCGCAAUGGGCGAAAGCCUGACGGAGCAACGCCGCGUGAGUGAUGAAGGUCUUCGGAUCGUAAAACUCUGUUAUUAGGGAAGAACAAAUGUGUAAGUAACUAUGCACGUCUUGACGGUACCUAAUCAGAAAGCUACGGCUAACUACGUG